UUUCCACAUGGCUCUCCCUCCUGGGGUGGGUGUGCUUAGAACCCAUUCACCAUUUUGUCAGAAAACCCAGACCAUGUAGGGAGGUUACGUGUGGGUAUUCCACCAGAUAGCCCCAGGUGAUGCCCUGGCUGACAGCCCACAUUAACCAGGAGAUACUUGAGCAAGAAAACCUUUGACAGUAUUCUAACUCCAUACUGUUUAAAGGCAACCACAUCCUGAGCCAGAACUGCCUAGAGACGGCCAUUUGAAUGCUGGCAGGUAGGAAGAAAAGAGGAGGAUUAAAAAGUCCCAGAAGUUGGCAUUUUAACUACUGCAACAAAAAAGGAGAAUAAAGCAGAGUAGCAAGGUAAAGACCAGAGAAACACAGGUCACUGCAGAAUGGAAGAAUCUUCCAAGCUUGUCAGUAAUACAAAGGAAGAACUUACUGUGGUAACCGAGAGGGAUUCCGGAAAGGAUUUCAUAUGGGGACAUGCUGCAGGGUACCCUUGUUGAUCUAGGAGACAUAGGGCAAGUGUCACCACAUGGAUUCUACUGAGGAAAUCCCUUGCGUUGUAUUGGGUAGUGUGGACAGGAGGCUGGCUUAUGAAGAGGACAGAAAAAGGGGUACUUACCUCACCAUCAUCCUCAGAAGUGAUGCUCCUGCAAUCCUCAGAAGGAGCUGGAGGGAGACAGAGUAAAAGUCAGUACCCUCGUGGCUGGAGACUUCUGGAUUUCACAUCUUGAUAUGAGCUCAUCUGUAGGAGAAAGGAAACUAAAAGCACUGUUAGUGAAUGUUCAUAGGAGCAACAGCCCACACCAGGAAACCUCUGCACCAUGAGAGCCAAGUAGAGGAAUGCGCAGGCUAAAGCACAAAAGAAGAAAGAUGAGGCAGAGGUCCAAGUAAACCGCUACUUGUUGCACCGUGGAGGCCACGGGAGCAGAAACAUGGGAUGCCAGACGCCGAGGAUGCUGGUACAAGUUGUGAGACUGCACGCUACUGUCUAGAGCUUGUUUCAGUGGAUCUAGAACUUCAUUGCCAUCUGAUCGCCAGUCACCUCUGAGACCGACCCACCUUCCUCAUAACCAGGACUGCCCAUGUUGUUCUUUUGCCCUGGACCUGUGACAUUCUGGACUAUUUCUGUGUUUGCUUGUGGUCAAGUGUAACAGUCAUACAAUAAAUCACCUCUUCUGCUGUCAGCUGAAGAAUUUAAAAAAACAACAAAA